rnacentral:rRNA from 1 species
CUCUGUGACUCCUACGGGAGGCAGCAGUGGGGAAUAUUGCACAAUGGGCGCAAGCCUGAUGCAGCCAUGCCGCGUGUGUGAAGAAGGCCUUCGGGUUGUAAAGCACUUUCAGUUGUGAGGAAGGUGGUGUCGUUAAUAGCGGCAUCAUUUGACGUUAGCAACAGAAGAAGCACCGGCUAACUCCGUGCCAGCAGCCGCGGUAAUACGGAGGGUGCGAGCGUUAAUCGGAAUUACUGGGCGUAAAGCGCAUGCAGGUGGUUUGUUAAGUCAGAUGUGAAAGCCCGGGGCUCAACCUCGGAACUGCAUUUGAAACUGGCAGACUAGAGUACUGUAGAGGGGGUAGAAUUUCAGGUGUAGCGGUGAAAUGCGUAGAGAUCUGAAGGAAUACCGGUGGCGAAGGCGGCCCCCUGGACAGAUACUGACACUCAGAUGCGAAAGCGUGGGGAGCAAACAGGAUUAGACACCCUGGUAA